CACGUAGGGUGCGAGCGUUGUCCGGAAUUAUUGGGCGUAAAGAGCUCGUAGGCGGUGUGUCGCGUCGGCCGUGAAAACCCACAGCUCAACUGUGGGCUUGCGGUUGAUACUGCUGUGACUGGAGUCCGGUAGGGGAGCGUGGAAUUCCUGGUGUAGCGGUGAAAUGCGCAGAUAUCAGGAGGAACACCAGCGGCGAAGGCGGCGCUCUGGGCCGGUACUGACACUGAGGAGCGAAAGCGUGGGUAGCAAACAGG
rnacentral:rRNA from 1 species